GACCGUAUUGCAUUGUAGUUGUAACUGGAUAGGUUCUCUAACCACUUCUACUUAGCUUGGGUAACCAUGAUAUGCUGCUAGGUGUCACUCAUGGUUUGUGGAAGCCUUGAAGAUUAGCAAACACUAAUCAAAGGGAGAAUUGAAAUGUUGUUUCAAUUCACAAUCGAUCGUUAAGAGUAACAAUCGCCCACUGCCUCGC
rnacentral:lncRNA from 1 species